rnacentral:piRNA from 1 species
UGCAGGUCCUCAACCUAAGAUUCCUAAAUGC